rnacentral:lncRNA from 1 species
CUGCUGUAUAAUAGCAGCCCUCAGCCCACUGCCAGGUACCUGGCUGUAGAUUCAUAUAGAUGAAGCUACUCUGUGGCAAAAAGUUGACGUAGACCACUCCGCGAAUAUCCUUGUACGAUCCCAUUUGGUGCUCAUGGCCUGCUGAAGACUGAUGUUGGAACAGAAGAGCUGAGAAACACACCUGCCCCUACCUCAAGCCCUGCACCAAGUAAAAGUCAGCAGCAAUAUACCCUGGGGAAAGGGCUAGAGUGUGGCUGGAGAUCUUGCUGAAAGCUGGAGGUGGAGGAGGAAUACAAAGAUAAGAUUUUAGGACUCCAGGCUUCACAACUCCUUCUACAUCUGUUGUUCAAGGUUCAGACUCAAUAUGCAACUAAUUUAUGAAGCCCGUUUAGACCACAACAACCCUGAUGCAAGAUGUUCUCCACUAUGUUAAGAUGCAGCAUGAAGCCCUUACCAGAAGCUAAGAGUAUUCCGUUAGAGCAACACAAAACAGACUAAGACAACUUGUUCAUUACUGAUGUACAGAUUUCACUGACCAGCAACACUCCAGUGAAACUGCAGUCAAAAUUUAUGGAGUCUGCAGUAAAUAUGAAGCUAAAGUAACAGGCAAUGAAGAGCUCACCUGCUGCCUCCAGGGCUGCUUAACAUGCUGCAACCAGGCUGAAUGGUGCAUAUUGGACUGGAACCUGGAUCCUUGAGUAAAUGAAAGGAGAAAAGCCCCUAUCCAGUAUAUCAGAUUUGUGUAAACCAAAAAAUAAACUUUCAAUAUGGUAACUAAACUGGAAUAACGCAUAUGACGGGGGAGAGUUCCCUGACCCUCUUGCGAGUCUUGCCACAGGGAGGGUGUGGAGGGUUGGUGGUAGCUUGUUUUGCUUUGUUGCUGAACUCAAGCCCCUUGCAGGAGUGGGAGCAUGCAGCACUCUCCAGGAAAAGCUGCCUGCUAGAUAACAUGAAGACACGCCAGCAGCCUCAUGGGGGUGGAGGGAAGAGAGGCCUCAUGGUGAGGGACUGAGGCCUCCUACUAAAAGCCAGCACUAACUUGUCAGGCAUGAAAGUGAGCCACCUGGAAGCACAUCUUCAGCCCCUGUGGACCCUUUAGAUGACUGCAGGCCCUGCUGACAUCUUGACUGAAACCUCAUGAGACAGCUAGAACCAGAAUCGCCCAGAGAGAAGAACAUCAAAGGUGCGGGUUUAGGGCCCAGAAAGCCACUGGCCCCUUAAUAUCCAGAAAAGGACAAAAACUCACGGGAGUCAAGCACUGUUUGCCUGGAAGAAGAAAGAUAAAGACACAGACAAGCCCUGCUCCCCCACCAGCCAAAACUACUAUUCUACCUGUUUCCUGAUUCUGACCCACGUAUAUUCACUUGUUUCAUCAUUUUCUCAUUCAAAAAUAUAUUCAUUCAAUUAAUAAUGAUUUACUGAGUGUGUAUUAUGUAGCCAGUGCUUGCAUGGAACUCAGAUUACAGCUGGAAAUGAAACAGAUCUGGUCUUACACCCUCUGUACAUCUUCUUCCUCCUGUUACCACUCUAUCCUGUCUUCAACCUCAACUUCACUACUAAUUUCAUACUUAA